rnacentral:rRNA from 1 species
UAAUAAUUAUUUAUUAAUUUUAUUUAUUUAUUUUUAUAUAAUAAAAAUAAUUUUUUUUAUUAAAGUUUUAGUAUUUUAUAAAGAAAAAAUAAUUAUAAUUAUAGUUAAUUAGUAUUGUAAAAGAAUAUUGAAAUAUUUUGAAAAAUAUUUAUUUUAAAAGAAAAUUUAAUUUAUUGUACCUUGUGUAUCAGGGUUUAUUAAAUAAUAAAUUAUUAUAUUUAUUUUUUUCGAAUUUUAAAGAGUUAAUUAUAUAUAAAAGUUAUUGUAGAAUAACUAUUUUAAAUAUAUAAUUUGAAAUUAAACGUUAAUCGUUUUAAAAUAUAUCUGAUUUUUUAAGAAAUAAAUUUAAUUUAUUUUAUUAAUUUUAUUUAUUUAUUUUUUAAUAAUUAAAUAAAUUAAUAAUUAAAUAUUUUAAGGGAUUAGCUUUAAAAUAAAUUUUUAAAUUUUAAUAAAUAAAAAAAAAUAAAUAUAAGCUUAAAGAUAGCUAUUAUUUAUAAAUUUGUUAUAAUUUAUUUUUAUAAUUAAAAUAUUUAUUUAAAAUUAAAUUAUUUAUUAAAAUAUAAAUUUUAAUUAAAAUAAUUUAGUAAUUAUGAUAAAAUUAGUAUAUUUAUUUUUAUAAAAUAAUUAAUUUGGAAGGUUUUAAUUAAGAAUUCGGCAAAUUAAAUAUAUUCACCUGUUUAACAAAAACAUGUCUUUUUGUAUUUUAUAUAUAAAGUCUGGCCUGCCCACUGAAUUAUAAAGGGCCGCGGUAUUUUGACCGUGCGAAGGUAGCAUAAUCAAUAGUCUUUUAAUUGAAGGCUUGUAUGAAUGGUUGAAUGAGAUAUAUACUGUUUUUUUUAAAUUUAAAUAGAAUUUUAUUUUUGAAUUAAAAAGUUUAAAUAAAAUUAAAGGACGAGAAGACCCUAUAGAUCUUUAUUUUUUGUAUUUUAUAAUUAAAAAAGAAUUUAUUUACUUAUAUUUAUUUAAAAAUUUUUCUGGGGUGGAAAUAAAAUUUAAUUAACUUUUAUUAAUUUUUAACAAUUAAUUUUUGAAUAAUUGAUCCUAUAUUGUAGAUUAAAAAUUUAAGUUACCUUAGGGAUAACAGCGUAAUUUUUUUAGAGAGUUCUUAUCGAUAAAAAAGAUUGCGACCUCGAUGUUGGAUUAAGAGUUAUUUUUAGGUGUAGAAGUUUAAAGUUUAGGUCUGUUCGACCUUUAGAUUCUUACAUGAUCUGAGUUCAAACCGGCGUAAGCCAGGUUGGUUUCUAUCCUUAAUAAAUUGUUAUAUUGUAGUACGAAAGGACCUAAUAUAAAAAUUAUAAAUUUAUUAUAUUGAAUUUUAUUAAAUUAUUAU